CCGAUACAAUGAUGACAGCAUAGUUCAGCAGAUUAAACCAUGAAGAUUUCCCUAUUGUCUUUCGCUCCUAGCUGAUGUGUCGG